GUCUAAAACGACUCUCGGCAACGGAUAUCUCGGCUCUUGCAUCGAUGAAGAACGUACCGAAAUGCGAUACUUGGUGUGAAUUGCACAAUCCCGUGAACCAUCGAGUCUUUGAACGCAAGUUGCGCCCGAAGCCAUUAGGCCGAGGGCACGCCUGCCUGGGUGUCACUAA
rnacentral:rRNA from 1 species